GAUGAACGCUAGCGGCAGGCUUAACACAUGCAAGUCGAGGGGCAGCAUGAUCGAACUUUCGGGUUUGAUUGAUGGCGACCGGCGCAAGGGUGCGUAACGCGUGAGCAACUUGCCCUCAUCAGGGGAAUAACCGUUGGAAACGACGACUAAUACCCCAUAGCACAUAUUUAAGGCAUCUUUUAUAUGUUAAAGAAUUUCGGAUGAGGAUAGGCUCGCGUGACAUUAGCUAGAUGGCGGGGUAACGGCCCACCAUGGCGACGAUGUCUAGGGGUUCUGAGAGGAAGGUCCCCCACACUGGAACUGAGACACGGUCCAGACUCCUACGGGAGGCAGCAGUGAGGAAUAUGGUCAAUGGUCUGACGACUGAACCAGCCAUGCCGCGUGAAGGAGACGGCCCUAUGGGUCUUAAAACUUCUUUGUAAGGGAGCAAUAAGGUGUACGUGUACAUCGAUGAGAGUACCUUACGAAUAAGCAUCGGCUAAACUCCGUGCCAG
rnacentral:rRNA from 1 species